UAGGGAGACCAUCUGAUAGUAGACCGAACCUAAACAAUAGGUCAAUAUCAGUCAUCCCUGGUCGUUCGAGGAAUAGAUGUCAAAGCUUUCAAACUAUUAACUGGUUCGGAACUCGCGGGCUAUUAGCUCAGUUGGUUAGAGCGCACCCCUGAUAAGGGUGAGGUCCCUGGUUCAAAUCCAGGAUGGCCCACCUGGAAAAAAAGUGAUGAAUUGUCAGUAAUGAGUAAUGGAUAAUCAAUGAUUAAUUCAAGACUCAUAAAAUCCAAAUCAGAACUACAAGUGUGGGGGUAUAGCUCAGUUGGUAGAGCGCCUGCCUUGCACGCAGGAAGUCAGCGGUUCGAGUCCGCUUACCUCCACUCUCACUAACUAGAACCUACAAAAAAACAAAAAGAGAUAGAAAUCAGCACCCAGACUAGCUAGGUGAAACCAGAAGUCGGAAUGCUGGAGUCUAGAACUCUAGUCAGAACCUUGAAAACUGCAUAGAAAUUAAGUCAUCAAAGCGUGUCAGUCAUCCGAGCAAUCGGAGGAUAUGACAAGCGACCACCAUCAAAAAAUCAAGU
rnacentral:tRNA from 2 species